UGCAGUCGACGCGAAGCACCUUCGGGUGCAAGUAGAGUGGCGGACGGGUGAGUAACGCGUGGGAAUCUGCCCAGUAGCUGGGGAUAACUCGAGGAAACUCGAGCUAAUACCGAAUACGCCCUACGGGGGAAAGGCUUCGGCCACUAUUGGAUGAGCCCGCGUCAGAUUAGCUAGUUGGUAGGGUAAUGGCCUACCAAGGCGACGAUCUGUAGCUGGUCUGAGAGGACGAACAGCCACACUGGGACUGAGACACGGCCCAGACUCCUACGGGAGGCAGCAGUGGGGAAUAUUGGACAAUGGGCGAAAGCCUGAUCCAGCAAUGCCGCGUGUGUGAAGAAGGCCUGCGGGUUGUAAAGCACUUUCAGUUGGGAAGAUUAUGACGUUACCAACAGAAGAAGCACCGGCUAACUCCGUGCCAGCAGCCGCGGUAAUACG
rnacentral:rRNA from 1 species